rnacentral:rRNA from 1 species
AGAGUUUGAUCCUGGCUCAGGAUGAACGCUAGCUACAGGCUUAACACAUGCAAGUCGAGGGGAAACGACAUCGAAAGCUUGCUUUUGAUGGGCGUCGACCGGCGCACGGGUGAGUAACGCGUAUCCAACCUGCCCACCACUUGGGGAUAACCUUGCGAAAGUAAGACUAAUACCCAAUGACGUCUCUAGAAGACAUCUGAAAGGGAUUAAAGAUUUAUCGGUGAUGGAUGGGGAUGCGUCUGAUUAGCUUGUCGGCGGGGUAACGGCCCACCAAGGCGACGAUCAGUAGGGGUUCUGAGAGGAAGGUCCCCCACAUUGGAACUGAGACACGGUCCAAACUCCUACGGGUGGCA